rnacentral:rRNA from 1 species
UGGGGAAUCUUCCGCAAUGGACGAAAGUCUGACGGAGCAACGCCGCGUGUAUGAUGAAGGUCUUCGGAUUGUAAAGUACUGUCAUUGGGGAAGAACGGUUUUCUUGAAAAGAUUGAGAAGACAUGACGGUACCCAAGGAGGAAGCCCCGGCUAACUACGUGCCAGCAGUCGCGGUAAUACGUAGGGGGCAAGCGUUGUCCGGAAUUAUUGGGCGUAAAGGGCGCGUAGGCGGGCCUUUAAGUCCGGUGUGAAAGAUCAGGGCUCAACCCUGAGAGUGCAUCGGAAACUGGAGGCCUUGAGGACAGGAGAGGAAAGUGGAAUUCCACGUGUAGCGGUGAAAUGCGUAGAUAUGUGGAGGAACACCAGUGGCGAAGGCGACUUUCUGGACUGUAACUGACGCUGAGGCGCGAAAGCGUGGGGAGCAAACAGGAUUAGAUACCCUGGUAGUCCACGCCGUAAACGAUGAGUGCUAGGUGUAGAGGGUAUCGACCCCUUCUGUGCCGCAGUUAACACAAUAAGCACUCCCGCCUGGGGAGUACGGCCGCAAGGUUGAAACUCAAA